GCAUAUCAAUAAGCGGAGGAAAAGAAACCAACAGGGAUUACCUCAGUAACGGCGAGUGAAGCGGUAACAGCUCAAAUUUGAAAGCUAGCUCUUCUAGGGUUCGCAUUGUAAUUUGUAGAAGAUGCUUCGGGUGUGGCCCCGGUCUAAGUUCCUUGGAACAGGACGUCAUAGAGGGUGAGAAUCCCGUAUGUGACUGGGUGCUUUCGCUCAUGUGAAGCUCUUUCGACGAGUCGAGUUGUUUGGGAAUGCAGCUCAAAAUGGGUGGUAAAUUUCAUCUAAAGCUAAAUAUUGGCCAGAGACCGAUAGCGCACAAGUAGAGUGAUCGAAAGAUGAAAAGCACUUUGGAAAGAGAGUUAAACAGUACGUGAAAUUGUUGAAAGGGAAGCGCUUGCAACCAGACUUGCGCGCUGAUGAUCAUCCGGGCUUCUGUCCGGUGCACUCGUCUGCGCUCAGGCCAGCAUCGGUUUCGGUGGUGGGAUAAAGGCCUUGGGAAUGUAGCUUCUUUCGGGGAGUGUUAUAGCCCUCGGUGCAAUGCCGCCUACCGGGACCGAGGACCGCGCUUCGGCUAGGAUGCUGGCGUAAUGGUUGUAAGCGACCCGUCUUGAAACACGGACC
rnacentral:rRNA from 10 species